rnacentral:rRNA from 1 species
AGCAGCCGCGGUAAUUCCAGCUCCAAUAGCGUAUAUUAAAGUUGUUGCAGUUAAAAAGCUCGUAGUUGAAUUUCGGGAUUAAUUUAUUGGUCGUGCUAUUGUACGUACUGGUAUUAUUGAUUCCUACCUUCUGACGAACCACGAUGUCAUUAAUUUGGUGUCAUGGGGAAUCAGGACUGUUACUUUGAAAAAAUUAGAGUGUUUAAAGCAGGCUCACGCUUGAAUACAUUAGCAUGGAAUAACGAAAUAGGACGUUUGAUUCUAUUUUGUUGGUUUCUAGGAUCGACGUAAUGAUUAAUAGGGAUAGUUGGGGGCAUUAGUAUUCAAUUGUCAGAGGUGAAAUUCUUGGAUUUAUUGAAGACUAACUACUGCGAAAGCAUUUGCCAAGGAUGUUUUCAUUAAUCAAGAACGAAAGUUAGGGGAUCGAAGACGAUCAGAUACCGUCGUAGUCUUAACCAUAAACUAUGCCGACUAGGGAUCGGAUGAUGUAAUUUUUAAUGACUCAUUCGGCGCCUUACGG